UACGUAGGGGGCUAGCGUUGUCCGGAAUCAUUGGGCGUAAAGAGCGUGUAGGCGGCCCGGUAAGUCCGCUGUGAAAGUCGGGGGCUCAACCCUCGAAUGCCGGUGGAUACUGUCGGGCUAGAGUGCGGAAGAGGCGAGUGGAAUUCCUGGUGUAGCGGUGAAAUGCGCAGAUAUCAGGAGGAACACCGAUUGCGAAGGCGCACAUCUGGCCCGAUACUGACGCUGAGGCGCGAAAGCUAGGGGAGCAAACGGG
rnacentral:rRNA from 1 species